rnacentral:lncRNA from 1 species
AUGAAGGAAGCGCUCCAUCAGAUAGUCGUCCGCUGCAGUGAGCUGGUUUCCAGCACGAGCCUGCCUAGACUCAGCGUCUCCCGCCUCCAGGGACCCCCAGACUCUCAGCCCCUAGGCACCCUGGGCCAGGGUGGUUGGAAGCUUCUAGGCAUUGUGGGGUCUCUGGCACCAGAGACACUCGGGGGUCUGGGGACCGAGUUUGGGCCCUGUACCCACCCACUACCAUUUGACAUGGUGAGAGAGAGAGAGAGAGAUGACGAGCUCAGGCAGGGAUGGCUUCUCCAGUGCCCACAAUAUGCCAGGACUCUGCUAUGCCACUGUGGGCCUUUCCUCACCCCUCCCUCCCAGACAUCAAGCUCCGGUUUCCAGCUGUGUUCCUUGAAGCCCUCGGGCUCUCUGGUGACAGCCACAGAGCCUCUGAGCAAUUUUGCUUUCAGCUAUUUUCCAUGA